rnacentral:rRNA from 1 species
UUUUGUGGAGGGUUCGAUUCUGGCUCAGGAUGAACGCUGGCGGCGUGCUUAACACAUGCAAGUCGAACGGGAUCCCUGGUUUCGGCCGGGGUGAGAGUGGCGAACGGGUGAGUAAUGCGUGACCGACCUGCCCUGUACUGCGGAAUAGCUCCUGGAAACGGGUGGUAAUGCCGCAUGCUCCAAUGCACUGCAUGGUGUGUUGGGAAAGGUUUUUCCGGUAUGGGAUGGGGUCGCGUCCUAUCAGGUAGUCGGCGGGGUGAUGGCCCACCGAGCCUAUG